rnacentral:rRNA from 1 species
UACCAGACUCCUACGGGAGGCAGCAGUGAGGAAUAUUGGUCAAUGGGCGGGAGCCUGAACCAGCCAAGUCGCGUGAGGGAAGACGGUCCUAUGGAUUGUAAACCUCUUUAGGCGGGGAGCAAUGCCGGGCACGCGUGCCCGGAGGGAGAGUACCCGCAGAAUAAGCAUCGGCUAACUCCGUGCCAGCAGCCGCGGUAAUACGGAGGAUGCGAGCGUUAUCCGGAUUUAUUGGGUUUAAAGGGUGCGUAGGCGGGUUUUUAAGUCAGCGGUAAAAGGGCCGGGCUCAACCCGGGCCGGCCGUGGAAACUGGGGAUCUUGAGUGGGCGAGAAGUAUGCGGAAUGCGUGGUGUAGCGGUGAAAUGCAUAGAUAUCACGCAGAACUCCGAUUGCGAAGGCGGCGUGCCGUGCCGCCACUGACGCUGAGGCACGAAAGCGCGGGGAUCGAACAGGAUUAGAUACCCUAGUAGAG